rnacentral:rRNA from 1 species
CCCUUAGAUGUUCUGGGCCGCACGCGUGCUACACUGAACGGUUCAAUGGGUAAGGUAGUGCGAAAGCAUGACCUAAUCUCGAAAUCCGUUCGUGCUGGGGAUAGAAGCUUGCAAUUAUCCUUCUUGAACGAGGAAUACCUUGUAAGCGUGAGUCAUCAUCUCACGCUGAAUACGUCCCUGCCCUUUGUACACACCGCCCGUCGCUCCUACCGAUUGAGUGUUCCGGUGAGGCUUUGGGAGAAUGGCCUCAACAUGAGUUUAUCGUGUUUUGCCGUUUGAACUUAGUCAAACCUUAUCACUUAGAGGAAGGAGGAGUCGUAACA